UCGGCCCCUAACCAUCGUCAAAGUUCUUCAUCUCUUCAUUUCACCGGCGACCAAAACCUUCGAACGUUACGGAAUCAGUCUGGAUUGAAGCGUCAUCUUUAAAGCGCUCUCAGUAACAAUAACAUCUCCAAUGACUUCCUCCCUCUGGAUCUUCAACUAUAAAAAGGAAAGAACUUUGGAGUGGAGAUUUGACAAGAGAAUUGAGUGGCAACACGACAGAGAGUCAAGAUACAGAUGUUAACUAAACUGAAUGUGAUUUUUAUGUUCAUACUUCUUUGAAUUUAGUUUAUGUUCAUUUAAUGUUUUCUUCUGAUUUAGAUUCCCAGGCUGGAAAAAUGGAUCUGAGAGCGAGUGGAUCCACAUGGAGAUCAAAAUCCAAAUCAGAAGCCAAGGAUUCUUAUGAAUAAGGAUAAGAAGAGAUGCGAGAGACGUGACCAACAGUUUCUCCAGCAAAAGCCAAAGAUAUCAAAUAAUUACGCGGAGGAGGACAUGUCCAUGAAGCUACAUUAGAGAAGAUAUGUGGAAAAAUAUCAAGGAAAUAAAAUUACAAGAAGCGAAACUAAAGGCUGGCCAGUAGAAGAAAUCCCACUCUAAACAGGUUGGAACAAAAAAAAACAUCAAGGUUAGAGUUUUCAUCAAGAGCAUCUAUAAAAUGUGGAGUUAGAGCUAUUUCUGACGGAGAGCUCGAACUUUUGAUGGAAGCAGUAGAUGGAGGAAUGAGAACGUAAGGCUUUGCAGUAGUGAAAUAACUGACUCGAUCCUCAAAAGGAUUUUAGAGAUGCAGUGGUUGAGAUGUUCAUGGAAUAUGGUAUCAACCACCCAGAAGAACUCAAGCAGGUUCACAGAUUUUAUACCAGUAAAAAAAAAACAUGAUCCAGCGAAAGUUUAUUAUUAUCAAAAGAACAUUUUAGGAUCAUCAUCAGCUUACGUUCAAAUCAUGGAUAUUGGUUAAAGUAGUGUAAAGCUUA